UACGUAGGGUGCGAGCGUUAAUCGGAAUUACUGGGCGUAAAGCGUGCGCAGGCGGUUUUGUAAGCCGGAUGUGAAAUCCCCGGGCUUAACCUGGGAAUGGCAUUCGGGACUGCAAGGCUGGAGUGCGGCAGAGGAGACUGGAAUUCCUGGUGUAGCAGUGAAAUGCGUAGAUAUCAGGGGGAACACCGAUGGCGAAGGCAGGUCUCUGGGCUGACACUGACGCUCAUGCACGAAAGCGUGGGGAGCAAACAGG
rnacentral:rRNA from 1 species